AGUGAACGCUGGCGGUAGGCCUAACACAUGCAAGUCGAACGGCAGCACAGUAAGAGCUUGCUCUUACGGGUGGCGAGUGGCGGACGGGUGAGGAAUACAUCGGAAUCUACUUUUUCGUGGGGGAUAACGUAGGGAAACUUACGCUAAUACCGCAUACGACCUACGGGGGAAAGCAGGGGAUCUUCGGACCUUGCGCGAUUGAAUGAGCCGAUGUCGGAUUAGCUAGUUGGCGGGGUAAAGGCCCACCAAGGCGACGAUCCGUAGCUGGUCUGAGAGGAUGAGCAGCCACACUGGAACUGAGACACGGUCCAGACUCCUACGGGAGGCAGCAGUGGGGAAUAUUGGACAAUGGGCGCAAGCCUGAUCCAGCCAUACCGCGUGCGUGAAGAAGGCCUUCGGGUUGUAAAGCCCUUUUGUUGGGAAAGAAAAGCAGCAGGUUAAUACCCCGCUGUUCUGACGGUACCCAAAGAAUAAGCACCGGCUAACUUCGUG
rnacentral:rRNA from 1 species